rnacentral:rRNA from 1 species
AGUCGAACGGCAGCACAGAGGAGCUUGCUCCUUGGGUGGCGAGUGGCGGACGGGUGAGGAAUACAUCGGAAUCUACUUUUUCGUGGGGGAUAACGUAGGGAAACUUACGCUAAUACCGCAUACGACCUACGGGUGAAAGCAGGGGACCUUCGGGCCUUGCGCGAUUGAAUGAGCCGAUGUCGGAUUAGCUAGUUGGCGGGGUAAAGGCCCACCAAGGCGACGAUCCGUAGCUGGUCUGAGAGGAUGAUCAGCCACACUGGAACUGAGACACGGUCCAGACUCCUACGGGAGGCAGCAGUGGGGAAUAUUGGACAAUGGGCGCAAGCCUGAUCCAGCCAUACCGCGUGGGUGAAGAAGGCCUUCGGGUUGUAAAGCCCUUUUGUUGGGAAAGAAAUCCAGCCGGCUAAUACCUGGUUGGGAUGACGGUACCCAAAGAAUAAGCACCGGCUAACUUCGUGCCAGCAGCCGCGGUAAUAC